AGCGAACGCUGGCGGUAGGCCUAACACAUGCAAGUCGAACGAACUCUUCGGAGUUAGUGGCGGACGGGUGAGUAACACGUGGGAACGUGCCUUUAGGUUCGGAAUAACUCAGGGAAACUUGUGCUAAUACCGAAUGUGCCCUUCGGGGGAAAGAUUUAUCGCCUUUAGAGCGGCCCGCGUCCGAUUAGCUAGUUUGGGUGGUAAAGGCUCACCAAGGCGACGAUCAGUAGCUGGUCUGAGAGGAUGAUCAGCCACAUGGGGACUGGGACUGGGGCCAAACUCCAACGGGAGGCGGCUGGGGGGAAUCUGGCGCAAUGGGCGAAAGCCUGACGCAGCCAGGCCGGGUAAGUGAUGGAGGUCUUAGGAGUGUAAAAUUCUUUCACCGGGGACGAUAAUGACGGUACCCGGAGAAGAAGCCCCGGCUAACUUCGUGCCAGCCGCCGCCGUAA
rnacentral:rRNA from 1 species